rnacentral:rRNA from 1 species
UCUUUUGACUCUGGCCUCAAAUCAGGUUAGGACUACCCGCUGAACUUAAGCAUAUC